AUAUUCCUGUACUUGGUGUUACUGCGAAGGGGGGACGGAGAAGGCUAUGUCGGCCGGGCGACGGUUGUCCCGGUUUAAGCAUGUAGGCGGAGGUUCCAGGUAAAUCCGGUACCUUAUUAAACGCUGAGGUGUGAUGACGAGGCACUACGGUGCUGAAGUGACAAAUGCCCUGCUUCCAGGAAAAGCCUCUAAGCAUCAGGUAACAUCAA
rnacentral:rRNA from 4 species